GACGAACGCUGGCGGCGUGCCUAAUACAUGCAAGUAGAACGCAGUUGCGAACGGGUGAGUAACGCGUAGGUAACUGCCUCAUAGCGGGGGAUAACUAUCGGAAACGAUAGCUAAUACCGCAUACUGUGAGAUGGACCUGCGUUGUAUUAGCUAGUUGGUGAGGUAAAGGCUCACCAAGGCGACGAUACAUAGCCGACCUGAGAGGGUGAACGGCCAAACUGGGACGUGUACACGGCCAAGACACAAACGGGAGGCAACAGUAGGGAAUCUUCGGGAAUGGACGGAAGUCUUACCGAGCAACGCCGCGUGAGUGAAGAAGGUUUUCGGAUCGUAAAGCUCUGUUGUUAGAGAAGCGGGAACUAACCAGAAAGGGACGGCAAGCUCCGUGCCAGCAGCCGCGGUAAUUC
rnacentral:rRNA from 1 species